CUAUACUGCGCGGGCUACGGCAAAAUCCGUAGCCGGAAUUGGCGUUCCGACGA
rnacentral:ncRNA from 1 species